rnacentral:lncRNA from 1 species
UGAUGAGAAUCUCCCAAGGAGUCGGCACUCUAAGACGGUGAAUAGAUAUUCCUUAGGUUCAACGGACGGUGAAGCCACGAAGAACAAGGAUGGUGGAGCGAAUGGUCGAACUUGAAUUCCUUAGAUAUGACACACUAAGACGAAUUCAAGGCUGAAAAUGAGAAUCACUUUCGACAAGACCCCCUGGAUAUGACGCACCAAGACGGAUCAUGUAUUGAUCAAUGGACACACCAUUAACCAAACCAAUGGAUAUUACACACCAUUGACGAAAAAUGAAAACUCACUCUCAAAGGAUUCCAAAAAUAUCAAAAAGGCUUAUUCUUUAUUCAUGAGAUGAACCUCAUUAUAUAGAGGAAUUACAACAAAUUCGUCCAUAAUAGUUUCUUAACAUGCAAAGCAUCUAGGGAGAUGAAAUUCAAACUCUAAAGUGCAUGUAAGAGAGAGAAAUCGACAGAAUUAAAUGCAGUCUUUGCUAUGGACGAAAUUUGAUCUUCCUUGAUU